GAGGAGAGAAGCAGAACAGGGGAACAUCCCCUUGUGGCUGGAAUUGGAUGCCUUCCUGCGGCACCCUCCCUUGUGCUGGCCAAAGCCCAGGUGGGCAGGUGCGUGGCUCAUCGCUGAUGGAGAAGGAAAGCAUGAGUGAAGUGAAGGACACGAAAACCCUCACCAUGCAUCCCCUGAAGACUGACCAGAAGUUCUCUGUGGUCUGUGGUCUCCUAUCAGGAAGGAACCCAGUGAGGACUGGGUAGUUUGGAAGCCUGGAAGACAGCUCUCGCUGGAAUCGAGCCCGGUUGGCAGCUGGCCUCAUCUCAGACGUCCCGCCUCAGACCCGGAGAACUAGGUGUCUGCUGCUGAAGUCUCAGCUCUGCUCUUCCGUCAUGGCAGCCUCAGCUAAGACAGCAAUGAUCUAAUAUUCAUCCAUGUUCUAAUUUCCCCAAUUGUUCCAAAUUAUAUCUUUUAGAUAGAAUUAACCUGUUUGUUUAAAUCAGGAUUUAAUUGAGGACCACGCAUUACGUGUCAUUGUCAUUUCUCUUUAGUCUCCUUCAGUUUAGUUUCGUCUCCUUUCCUGACGUUUUUUGGUCAUUCACGAUGUUCACAGGCAGUGCCCUCCCCCUUCUAAAGACAAAAGAGAAUGAGCCAAAGGCUGCUCCCGCCCCCAUACCCCUCCCCACCCAGGAAAGAAGGGACCCAGUGCCUGCUGGGAGAGCUUCUGCAGGAGAGGGUGUAGCCUGGGGCUACCUAGAGCUCUGGAGAAAGCAACUGAAAAGAAGACGGUCAACUUUAGAUAAAGGCAUGCAGCCAGACAUCAUUUCCUUCCUCUCAAAUGCACUUAGGGCACCAUUACAGUCGUGUCUCUCCUGCUCCCAGCAGCCCAGACACAAACAAACAAUGGGAAGAGAUGAAGGAGCCCUGAAGACCUGGCCUCUGCAGCCUCCCAGCAGCUGGGAAGCAUUUAAUUGCCCACAAGUCUUGUUAUGCAAAUGAGUCAUUGGCUGCUCUAAUCUCACACAGAUGUCUGAUGAGGCGGGUUCCUUGGCUCAGUCCUUUUUGAAACAGAGUUUAUCUGCACCCUCAUUUUACAGAUGAAGAAACUGAGUCUCAAAGGGGGUAAGUUUGACACCCAAGGUCACCUCCUUUAGUCUACAGUUGGCAUUCAUCAAGUGCUGGCUGUGUACCAGGCUCCAUGAUGGGUGGGUGACCCAGAGAUGAGUUACAUCCAAGCCCUGCACAGGCCAUCUGCAGAGAAUGCUCCAGGAAUGUUUGUUGGGUGAUCACAGAAUCAACAAAUGAAUAAAUGGAUUAAUGAAUCAAUUAGCAAAUGAUAUGGGCUUUCACGUAUGGAUGAGGCUUUGCACAGUUGUGUGGGGUGAGGGUUGCGUGCACGGCCCUAGGACCUGGAUCCAGGAGAAAGACCCAGCAGGGCCAGGGAUGGGCAUUCUUGGUUCCCCUGAUCCCACCCUCACCCCCAGGA